rnacentral:snRNA from 1 species
GGAUGUGAGAGCGACCUGGCUGCAACAUCUGUCACCCCAUGGAUCGCCAGGGUUGAUUCGGCUGAUGUGGCUGGCUAGGUGUGUGUCCCUCCCGAAGACAUGUGCUCAGACAAAGGACACUCUUCCCCAAUAGAGGAGGACAAUGGUAUAAGAGUGGUUGUGCUUCCCUGCUAGAACCUCCAAACAAGCUCUCAAGGUAGUGGGAGGGUAAGUCUAGAAAGGUUUUAGUAAGAA